rnacentral:tRNA from 1 species
CAAAAAAUAAUUUAUUAAGAAUAUUAAUUUUGGAGAUUAAAAGUAUAAUUUAGGAUUAUUUUUUUGA